GGCGGCCGCGGCCUUGGCGGCCUUCCGCUCCUCCUUGGCGACGCGGACGGCCUCGCGCUGGCGUCGUCCUUGCGCUUCUGCUCCGCUCGCUGGAUAUCCAUCUCGUACAGGUACUCGCGCCGCAGCUGCUUGACCUGCUUGGCGUAGUCCUUGCGGAGGCGGUCGAGGCGGAUCUCCGCCUCCCUCGGGUCGCUCGUCGGUGGGGGGUUCUUCCAGCUGCCAAGGAAGUCGGAGGGGGUGGCGAAGUCGUGGGGGGGAGGCGGGGGGUACCGGCGGCGGGCUAAGGUUUGGUGGGAGCGGAGCGGAUGGAGGAGCGGUGGCGGAGGAGGGGCGGUGAGGGCGCGGCGGAGAACCCUAGCUGUCGCCAUGAGGCGUUGGGGGGCAAAAUCAGCGGCGCUCCGACGCAGCGGUGAAGAAGG
rnacentral:misc_RNA from 1 species